CAACUGCGCAUUCAGAAUUGUUUUUUUUCUUCAUUACCUUGACCAUUUUCUUUUUAUUUUCUGAUUAUGCAGAGAUUGGGAUCGCAGGUGUAGGGUUCAUUUAAAUAUGAUUUGCAUAUUUAAAUGUGGGCGUGGACAGGGAGGGGUCGGCUACUCCAACACGUGCGAUUGGGCUGUACGAAGGAAAUGUGCUUAGAUUCAUGCGUACCCACAGAUUCAUACACCUGUAUAUUUUGAGGCUUACGACGUUUUCUGUUUCAGUAGGAAAUCCACGCAGGUCUUUGUACAUGAGGCCCCAGGUCACCAGGAGGUUAAAAUGCAUCGUAACCUUGGCAACAGUGUUAUUAGGAAGGCCUGGAAAGCGUUGCGGUCCCAGCGGUAUCUGGUGAGCUAUUGCGACACCGCCGUCUGUCCCUCCCUGCUGGAGCUGCUGCGUGGGAGCCUCCCAGGGACCCUGCAAACACAAAAACUGAAGAGGGUGAGACUGGAGCCGUGGCUAAUUUGGUAGCUCCGGUAUAGCCCCUCACUUAUCAGCAGCAAACGUCCUAAACCGCAGUGGUGGUUCAAGACCGAUUAUAGAGGGGUGGCCAGACUGGGCCCAAGGAUUUUUUCAGAGAAGCCGGACUACAGUGGUCAACGGGGGUUGCUGACAGAAAAUUUUGCCGGACAAGUCCAGGCAGAAAAUAACAUUUGUACCAUCCAAUCCAAUCAGUCAAUGGCCGGGGUGUCACAAAAAUAUUUGACAGACAAGUAAGUCACCAAACAAUUCCAUUCGUACAUCGUAAUCCAUUCAUGGGGAGGGCACGGUGGGGAAGCACAAUGUUAGGAGGGCACUUGGAUUUAUUUGGAGCGGGAGAGAGGAAGUUCAUUUGGAUUUAACUUUUAAGUACAAUACAUUUGCAUUUUAUUUUACAUGUGCAAUACAUUUAUAUUGAAUCGAUAUUUAAGUAAAGUUGUUUUUUUCUUUCAUUUUCCUAUAUGUAAGCACAGUGUUAAAUGUAAUGUUCUAACUGUGCAUAAUGUUACAGUGGUUUGCAAUACUAUUAAAUAAUAAAUAAUAAUUUCAUAAUAAAACCACUGUCUCAUUUUUAAUAAACA